rnacentral:lncRNA from 1 species
GCCUGAAGUGACAGAGAUUGAAAGACUGGGGACUAGGAGGUCUAAGGUAGCGGCAUGUGGAUGGGCAUGUUCAAGGCGCCAUGUUGAAGAUCUUCAUGUCAUUCCUUAAUGACCACCAGAUAUCAUCCUCCAGGGAAAGGACACUCAAAAACCGUCAAAACAAAAGAAGCCAGGGAGUUGACAUUAGCCAUUAGUGUCUGAAUGACAUGGCCAUGGUGGCAGAGGUGGAGGUCCUGCCUGGGUCCAACAACAUGGGCUCUCACUCACCGGGACCGACUUCUGCUACUGCUAUGUUCAACCUGCCAGCAACAGAGACUAAUGCGGAGACUCCAAAAUGGCAUGAUACCUCAAGGAGACCAACUGGACACUUGAAGCUCAAAACAUCAAGAAGAAGCUUGUGGCUGGGUGUGUGGCCUUGAGUGAAA